CAGCAGCCGCGGUAAUACGUAGGAUCCGAGCGUUAUCCGGAGUGACUGGGCGUAAAGAGUUGCGUAGGCGGUUAGUAAAGCGAAUAGUGAAACCUGGUGGCUCAACCAUACAGACUAUUAUUCGAACUCACUAACUCGAGAAUGGUAGAGGUAACUGGAAUUUCUUGUGUAGGAGUGAAAUCCGUAGAUAUAAGAAGGAACACCAAUGGCGUAGGCAGGUUACUGGACCAUUUCUGACGCUAAGGCACGAAAGCGUGGGGAGCGAACCGGAUUAAAUACCCGGGUAGUCCACGCCGUAAACGAUGGAUACUAGCUGUUGGAGGUAUCGACCCCUUCAGUAACGAAGCUAACGCGUGAAGUUGACCGCCUGGGGAGUACGGCCGCAAGGCUAAAACUCAA
rnacentral:rRNA from 1 species